rnacentral:lncRNA from 1 species
GCAAUCAGCACCAAAUUAUCCUGACAUCUGAAAAAUUCUAUCUACUAUAUUUGGUUUAUUGUUGAGUCUUUAUUUAUUACAGAAUGACAGUUUUUAUUUACCUUUCACUUUUAGACCACUUAUAACAAAAUGCUACAGGAAAACUUGUUUUUGAAAUACACCAUAAUUAAAAGUCCUUCUUGUCCUUUUGUCACCCUACUGGAAAUCCAACAAAAGAGGUCUCAGAGAGGCAAGAUGGAGAUGGAGGGAAAUGUUGAGACCCAUACAGUGAGAAAGCAGAGAGAAUGCAGAACUCACACACUUUGUACUGCUUGCUCCUGA